rnacentral:rRNA from 1 species
GAUGAACGCUGGCGGCGUGCCUAAUACAUGCAAGUCGAGCGAACAGACGAGGAGCUUGCUCCUCUGACGUUAGCGGCGGACGGGUGAGUAACACGUGGAUAACCUACCUAUAAGACUGGGAUAACUUCGGGAAACCGGAGCUAAUACCGGAUAAUAUAUUGAACCGCAUGGUUCAAUAGUGAAAGACGGUUUUGCUGUCACUUAUAGAUGGAUCCGCGCCGCAUUAGCUAGUUGGUAAGGUAACGGCUUACCAAGGCGACGAUGCGUAGCCGACCUGAGAGGGUGAUCGGCCACACGGGAACUUAGACACGGUCCAGACUCCUACGGGAGGCAGCAGUAGGGAAUCUUCCGCAAUGGGCGAAAGCCUGACGGAGCAACGCCGCGUGAGUGAUGAAGGUCUUCGGAUCGUAAAACUCUGUUAUUAGGGAAGAACAAAUGUGUAAGUAACUAUGCACGUCUUGACGGUACCUAAUCAGAAAGCCACGGCUAACUACGUG